rnacentral:rRNA from 1 species
AGAGAUCUGGAGGAAUACCGGUGGCGAAGGCGGCCCCCUGGACAAAGACUGACGCUCAGGUGCGAAAGCGUGGGGAGCAAACAGGAUUAGAUACCCUGGUAGUCCACGCCGUAAACGAUGUCGAUUUGGAGGUUGUGCCCUUGAGGCGUGGCUUCCGGAGCUAACGCGUUAAAUCGACCGCCUGGGGAGUACGGCCGCAAGGUUAAAACUCAAAUGAAUUGACGGGGGCCCGCACAAGCGGUGGAGCAUGUGGUUUAAUUCGAUGCAACGCGAAGAACCUUACCUGGUCUUGACAUCCACAGAACUUUCCAGAGAUGGAUUGGUGCCUUCGGGAACUGUGAGACAGGUGCUGCAUGGCUGUCGUCAGCUCGUGUUGUGAAAUGUUGGGUUAAGUCCCGCAACGAGCGCAACCC